CAGUCGACGGCAGCGCGGGGCAACCUGGCGGCGAGUGGCGAACGGGUGAGUAAUAUAUCGGAACGUACCCAAGAGUGGGGGAUAACGUAGCGAAAGUUACGCUAAUACCGCAUACGAUCUAAGGAUGAAAGCAGGGGAUCUUCGGACCUUGUGCUCCUGGAGCGGCCGAUAUCUGAUUAGCUAGUUGGUGAGGUAAAGGCUCACCAAGGCCACGAUCAGUAGCUGGUCUGAGAGGACGACCAGCCACACUGGAACUGAGACACGGUCCAGACUCCUACGGGAGGCAGCAGUGGGGAAUUUUGGACAAUGGGCGAAAGCCUGAUCCAGCAAUGCCGCGUGAGUGAAGAAGGCCUUCGGGUUGUAAAGCUCUUUUGUCAGGGAAGAAACGGUUUGGGCUAAUAUCCUGAGCUAAUGACGGUACCUGAAGAAUAAGCACCGGCUAACUACGUGCCAGCAGCCGCGGUAAUACGUAGGGUGCAAGCGUUAAUCGGAAUUACUGGGCG
rnacentral:rRNA from 1 species